GUCGCCUUUUGGCCUUUGGCUAAGAUCAAGUGUAGACUCCUUUAUCAGUUUAUUAUCUGAUACGUCCUCUACCUGGGGACCAUUUAUGAUAUGGAUUUUGUGGAUGGGGGUUGAUUUUGAUGCUGGCUUGUCGCCCUGUGCAUUAAUCUGAUUUGUUGGUUUCUUUUUGUACAGCAUUCCACAAACCAAUU